AAAGAAACUGAAUUGA
rnacentral:sRNA from 1 species